UACGAAGGGGGCUAGCGUUGCUCGGAAUCACUGGGCGUAAAGGGUGCGUAGGCGGGUCUUUAAGUCAGGGGUGAAAUCCUGGAGCUCAACUCCAGAACUGCCUUUGAUACUGAAGAUCUUGAGUUCGGGAGAGGUGAGUGGAACUGCGAGUGUAGAGGUGAAAUUCGUAGAUAUUCGCAAGAACACCAGUGGCGAAGGCGGCUCACUGGCCCGGUACUGACGCUGAGGUGCGAAAGCGUGGGGAGCAAACGGG
rnacentral:rRNA from 1 species